ACAACGACAAAAAUAUUUCCUACUGCGGUCACAUGAUCAGUAAAAUGGCUCUUCACAGGGAAACGAGAAACAUGGUUUUGACCGAUAGUAAAAUCUUAAAUAUUUCCUUACUUAGACACUUUCAGGACUUAUAAUGGGUUGAAAUAUAAUUUCAGAAAAUGGAAAGUACCGUGGAAGUCAAUGACAGGAACUGAGAUUGGAAUACCUGCAGACAGUUUUAACAACAGACAUGAAACUAUUCAACUUCUUUUCUUCCAGCAGCUAAAACAACAAAAGUAUUUCCUUGUUUUAACUCUUUAUGUUUAACAAAUACGAUACCAUUAUAGAGGCAUAACAGCAGCCUUUCAUUUCGUGACCACCAACUGUCAUUUUUGCCUAUAGUAUGGCAUUGUGUCCUUUAUUUAAUUCUUUACUCUAUUGUACGGACAUAAAGCACCCAAUGAUUUCUAUCGUAUUAUUUGCUGCAUAUUACCGUUAAUUCUUUUCCGGCAGUAACACAAUGAAGAAAACAAUAUGUUAUUAAUUGAAGCCCUAUCAAUCGCUAUAUCUCAUUCUCCAUUGAAAUUAAUAUGUAUUGGACAGAGGCAGCCUUUUGUUCAACAAUUCAUAAUAAAAGAUGUUUCUGUAUUGUGCUAUUGUAUUGAAACACAAUGGUACUAUGAUUAUCGGGAUGUUUUACAAAACCAGAACAAUGGCUACUUUGAUUACACUGCUAUAGACAUAAUUCAAAUUUGAUUGGUCGAUAUAGAUGUAAAAGAAAUGUACAUGCCUCAUUUGAUUCUAUUGUUUAAUAACUUCAAUUUUAUUGUUACUUGUUUUGUGUUGGGAUUAUUUUAUUGUUAGCAAUUGAUGUAAAAUCAGAUAUUUUUUUGAAACUGUACCGAGGUUUUGUAGGUGCAGAUAAAUUGAAUAUUGAAAAAAAUACAGUUUAAAACUGCCAGAUAAUUGUAUAUUUAUAUUUUUUAAUCUAUUGGCAUUUUACUUGUAACAUAUUGCGUCCUUUUGACGACAUGAAGCUGUUUUUUUUCAAUAUUUGUAUCUUUUCAUAGAAUUUCGAUCUAUACUUUGAACUAUGUAUCAUGCCAUUUUUAAUCUUUUGCAUUGUUGUAUUAUGUUCUCUGCUGAUCAGAUGAUUUCACUUCUAAAAUUUUAGCUGUUCACUUUGUAGAAUAAAUGUAAAAGU